rnacentral:rRNA from 1 species
CGUGUAGGCGGGCAUUCAAGUCGGUUGUGAAAUCCCCCAGCUCAACUGGGGAACUGCAUCCGAUACUGUUUGUCUUGAGGACGAGAGGGGAGAGUGGAACUUCUGGUGGAGCGGUGAAAUGCGUAGAUAUCAGAAGGAACGCCGGUGGCGAAAGCGACUCUCUGGCUCGUAUCUGACGCUGAAACGCGAAAGCUUGGUAGCAAACG